UGACUAAUUCCCGGUGACCUCG
rnacentral:miRNA from 1 species